rnacentral:pre_miRNA from 1 species
AAGCUACUCCCUCCGUUCCGAAUUACUUGUCUUGGAUUUGUCUAGAUACGGAUGUAUCUAGACUCUAGAUACCUCCGUAUCUAGACAAAUCCAAGACAAGUAAUUCGGAACGGAGGGAGUAUUUU